CCUACUUGGCCUUUCAGGCCCCCUUAUGCCCAAAUCUGGGUUCAAAUCCUUCAAAAUAUCAACAAAAAGCCUCGAAGAAUCAUGAAACCUUUUGGUUUCUGGCCACCGAUCCUCGGGGGUGGCUCCCUCGACCGUUUCACUGAGAUCUGGGCACCUUCAAAAGAUGAAUAUCCGGGUGGAGAUCCGGCCUGCGUGGAAGAUUGGAGUUGCGGCGGCCGAAGCUUAGAAACCCUAGGGUUUUUCAUCUGUUUUGGGCCAUUGUAAUUUGGGGCACUGCUUUGUUUUGGUUUGGGCCUUGUGGCCCGUUUGUAAUCGGACUCUAUGGACUGUUUUCAUUUAUUUGUUUAUCUGGUACGGGCCGGGUACAAAUUGGGUAUUACAGUUUUUUUUUUGUAUCGAUGAGCUUUUUCAUAGUAUAAGAUUGGUAUUGUUUCACCAUUGAUGUUAGAGGCAAGCUUGAGACAUGUAAUCUGUUAUACCAUGACCAGAAACAUAUACAUUUGGGCUA